CCUACGGGUGGCAGCAGUGGGGAAUAUUGGGCAAUGGGCGCAAGCCUGACCCAGCAACGCCGCGUGAAGGAAGAAGGCUUUCGGGUUGUAAACUUCUUUUCUCAGGGACGAAGAAAGUGACGGUACCUGAGGACUAAGCCACGGCUAACUACGUGCCAGCAGCCGCGGUAAUACGUAGGUGGCAAGCGUUAUCCGGAUUUAUUGGGUGUAAAGGGUGUGUAGGCGGGAGCGCAAGUCAGAUGUGAAAACGCAGGGCUCAACCCUGGACCUGCAUUUGAUACUGUGUUUCUUGAGUGCUGGAGAGGCAAGCGGAAUGCCGGGUGUAGCGGUGAAAUGCGUAGAGAUACGGAGGAACACCAGUGGCGAAGGCAGAUUGCUGGACAGUAACUGACGCUGAGGCGCGAAAGCGUGGGGAGCAAACAGGAUUAGAUACCCCUGUAGUC
rnacentral:rRNA from 1 species